rnacentral:rRNA from 1 species
GACGAACGCUGGCGGCGUGCUUAACACAUGCAAGUCGAACGGAAAGGCCUGCUUUCCCUUGUGGAUUGCGGGUACUCGAGUGGCGAACGGGUGAGUAACACGUGAGUGAUCUGCCCCCAACUUGGGUUUAAGCCUGGGAAACUGGGUCUAAUUCCCGAUAGGACUGCAGGGUGGUGCCUGUGGUGGAAAACGAUUUUCUAGUGGUUGGGGAUGAGCUCGCGGCCUAUCAGCUUGUUGGUGGGGUAAUGGCCUACCAAGGCGGCGACGGGUAGCCGGCCUGAGAGGGUGGACGGCCACAUUGGGACUGAGAUACGGCCCAGACUCCUACGGGAGGCAGCAGUGGGGAAUAUUGCACAAUGGGCGGAAGCCUGAUGCAGCGACGCCGCGUGGGGGAUGACGGCCUUCGGGUUGUAAACUCCUUUCGACCGCGAGGAAGCCACCUGGUUGGAAGGGUGGUGACGGUAGUGGUAGAAGAAGCACCGGCGAACUACGU